rnacentral:rRNA from 1 species
GAUGAACGCUGGCGGCGUGCCUAAUACAUGCAAGUCGAGCGAACAGACGAGGAUCUUGCUCCUCUGACGUUAGCGGCGGACGGGUGAGUAACACGUGGAUAACCUACCUAUAAGACUGGGAUAACUUCGGGAAACCGGAGCUAACACCGGAUAAUAUAUUGAACCGCAUGGUUCAUUAGUGAAAGACGGUUUUGCUGUCACUAAUAGAUGGAUCCGCGCCGCAUUAGCUAGUUGGUAAGGUAACGGCUUACCAAGGCAACGAUGCGUAGCCGACCUGAGAGGGUGAUCGGCCACACUGGAACUGAGACACGGUCCAGACUCCUACGGGAGGCAGCAGUAGGGAAUCUUCCGCAAUGGGCGAAAGCCUGACGGAGCAACGCCGCGUGAGUGAUGAAGGUCUUCGGAUCGUAAAACUCUGUUAUUAGGGAAGAACAAAUGUGUAAGUAGCUAUGCACGUCUUGACGGUACCUAAUCAGAAAGCCACGGCUAACUACGUG